rnacentral:rRNA from 1 species
CAGGCCUAACACAUGCAAGUCGAGCGAGAAAGGGGAAACCCCGGUAAAGCGGCGCACGGGUGAGUAACACGUAGGUAAUUUACCCCCAGGUGGUGGAUAACCUUCCGAAAGGAGGGCUAAUACAGCAUAAGACCACGUCUUCGCAAGGAGAUGAGGUCAAAGCCGGCCUCUUCAUGAAAGCUGGCGCCAGGGGAUGAGCCUGCGGCCCAUCACGGUAGUUGGUAGGGUAAUGGCCUACCAAGCCUAAGACGGGUAGCUGGUCUGAGAGGAUGAUCAGCCACACUGGGACUGAGACACGGCCCAGACUCCUACGGGAGGCAGCAGUGGGGAAUAUUGGACAAUGGGCGAAAGCCUGAUCCAGCAAUGCCGCGUGAGUGAUGAAGGCCUUAGGGUUGUAAAGCUCU